rnacentral:rRNA from 1 species
AACGAACGCUGGCGGCAUGCCUAACACAUGCAAGUCGAACGAGACCUUCGGGUCUAGUGGCGCACGUGUGCGUAACGCGUGGGAACCUGCCCUUAGGUUCGGAAUAACUCCCCGAAAGGGGGGCUAAUACCGGAUAAUGUCUUCGGACCAAAGAUUUAUCGCCUUUGGAUGGGCCCGCGUUGGAUUAGCUAGUUGGUAGGGUAAAAGCCUACCAAGGCGACGAUCCAUAGCUGGUCUGAGAGGAUGAUCAGCCACACUGGGACUGAGACACGGCCCAGACUCCUACGGGAGGCAGCAGUGGGGAAUAUUGGACAAUGGGCGAAAGCCUGAUCCAGCAAUGCCACGUGAGUGAUGAAGGCCUUAGGGUUGUAAAGCUCUUUUACCCGGGAUGAUAAUGACAGUACCGGGAGAAUAAGCUCCGGCUAACUCCGUG